GUGAGCUGUGGGGACUUGAGCAUUUAUUUGAUCUUAUUCGGAUUCUGCACUUUGAGCGUAUGUGUGCAGGGAGGGCCACAGAACUGAACAACCUCAAACCAACCUCUUCUGCUAUUGCCACCUAAAAUAACUUCAGAGCUGAGCCAGGCCCCCUUGCCAGGCUGACCACAUCUGGCUCAGAGGUAGUCUUGUGUGUUCUCUGCUGCACCCCAGCCUGCCUCCCUUGGUACAGCAAGGGGCUGUGGGAACUUAGCCAUUUUCCAGUCCAGCAGCAGCGUUUUCUUUCAUUGGCUUUCCUUGGUCGUGGUCAGAGGAGGUAACGUUCUACUGCUAGCCCUGGAGUCUUUCCAGGGGGCCACUUGUCCAAACACACUUUUCCUUUAGCCUCAGCGAAAUCAUCAGGUGGCGUUCUGACAGUCUCGUGGUGCUGUUUCUAGAAGUUCAGUCCAUUCCAAAUACUUUCUGGUUCAGGGCACUGACUCAUGAUAAUUCUGACUUUGUCUUAUGGUGUGAUCUUUGUAGAUGCCACUGCCACAUCUCAAUGCCAAAAGGGUCCAGCCCUGUGAGAGCUGAAUCUUUCCUGUCAUCGGCUGAUGUCCACACACCUUCAUCAUCCUGUGCUAGUUUCUGUGCCUACAACUGAGUUCAGAAGGAUUGCAAUGCUGAGCUUGGAAGCACUGAAGAGAGACUGGCCAGGGGUUGGAAGGAGUUACUUUGGAGAGACAGAAGAAAGUCCUCUGGUCCACGACCCCUGCUUCCGGGAACCAUUACAGCCUCAUCGCUUGACGGCACCAGUAAUCCAUCAGCUCUGAGCGCGCACGAGCUUCAGAGAGGCUGACUCAUCCCAGCCCCAUUGGACAGAACUGGAGGCUGCAGCCUAGUUUCAGGAGGAGCAUCCUGAGGUUGGGUGAGUUUUUCAAAGUAGGCCUGGGAUAAAGGCAAGGCUUUUGUGAUUAAUCUCCACAUGUGAAGCAAGCGAUGGACCCGGCCUCUCCACAAGUCACCGCCGCAGCCAGAGAUUCUUAGUUCUAAAGAGAAUCUGAGAUGCAAAUCCCAUCAGGAGCAUUUGCUGUCAGAAGUGUGACCUCAUCCUCUUGGCCUCCUUCUAAUGUCUUUAAGUCUGGAAUCCCUGGCAAUGAGGCAGAUUUCAGACAUUGACAUACAAAGCAUCCAGAAGGCUUCAGACCACGGCAUGUAUGUCUAGUGGAAGGAUUAGAAUGCUGUUCCACUAGGGAGCAAUAGGAGACUCACAGUCCCAAGCCUCUUCCGUAGGCUGGAACACUAAGAACUCCCAGGACUAGGGCCUCAGAUAAAGCAGGUGCAUUGAACCCUAUGAAACUGGCAAUAGCCAACUAUGUCACUUACGAAAAUGGCUGCUUUGUGUGGUUUGUCUAAUGCGCCUUUUCAUUAUCUUUUCUCUCCCUCCCCCUCCUCUUUCUUUGUGAGAGUCUUGAACUCCUAAUUCUUCUACCUCUACCUUCUGAGUGAUAGAAUAACAGCUGUGCACACCACACCUGGAUUAUAUGGUCCUGGGAAUCAAAGACGGGGGUCUGUGCUUGUGAGGCAAGCACUUUCCAUAUUGAACUCCUGCCCCAGCCCUUGAUCACAGGGACAAGGGACCCCACAUGGGGUUUAGAAUCAAGUCCUACUCAUCAUCCCAGGUGUAGCUGAUUAGUAACAUUUAUUUGUGUCACCAUCAGCAACAUCUCAGAUAGAAGCAAUGUAAGAGAGGAAGGGUUUGUCUGGUGGAAGUCACAGAGAGAUUUCAGUCUAUCGUGGUGGGGUAGCCUGGCUCUGUCCUGAUGGCACAGUAUGUUCCCAUAGAACAGAUCAGGAAGUAGAGAGAGAAGCCUGUAACCAGAGACUAGGGCAAACCUUCAAAGGCCACCGCUUGGUGAUAUAAUCCUGUCCUCCCUCUACAGCUUUCAAAAUAGCAUCCCACGGUGGUGAGCGAGUGUUCUAAAGGUGAGCCUGGGAGGACGUGUCGGGAGGACGUGCCUGGGACGACGUGUCUCAUUCAACCAUAAGCCAGUUUUAAGCCCUCGUGGUUUCUCCAGUCACAGUCAGUCUGUCGUCUCCUGGAGUUUAGAUGACAGUUUCUUAAUGAUAUUUAAUUAUUACUGUUUCUGUUCACAAAGGGCCUGAAAGAGCUGAGCUCUCUGGAGAUGGCUUCUGCCUUCACUUGUGCACGCCCCAGCUGCCCUCCCAGGGUUAGGACGCUUGUUGCUUGUUGUUUGGCUGUCUAAUCUUGACGUGUUUACCGACAAAACAAUAGCAGCAGCCACCACACCCGUUUCAGAAUUUAUGAUGGAACUUUUUAUUUUUUGCUUAACGAGACUUUACAAAAUAGCUCAGAAGUUGAUCUUGUAUAUAGUAUUAAAAAUACUGACUGUCUUUUCAAUCUUCUGAACUACUUAGCAUUUACAUGAUAACCUGUUUUUUGUGUUGGUGUGAAUUCAAGUGUCUCGUGUGCGUGUGUGCUUGUAUGUGUGUGUGUAUGUGUGCAUGUGUGCACACACAUGUGUAGAGGUCAGAGGUCAACUUCCAUUGCAGUUCUUCCGUCACUGUCCACCUUAGUUUUUGAGACAGGCAGGUCUCAGACUGUCCUGGACUCACCAGCUAGGCUGGCUGGUCAGCAAGCCCCAGAGAUCUGCCUGUCUCUGUCCCCCAGUGCUGGAACAAGUAGCAUGUACAGCAUGCCUGGCCUCUGUGACAUGAGUCUCGGAUAUUAAAUCCAGGCUAUUGCCAGUAAGGUGAGCACGGUACCGUGGACUGAGGUCCUCAGCCCCGAAGGGAUCUUCAGAGCAGAUGACUGGUUCUCCUCUUCUCACACUGAAGUUAUCUAAAGUUUAUCCUGCUGUGACCCCAGGGAUGUGUGACAAUGAGGAGCACCACAUGGGAGCACAGAGAGCAUCUGUGACCUAAACACAUGCCGCUCAGCAGUACCAGUGCCUGCUGUACUUGGUAGGAAACGGAGGACCCAGGAAGCUUCAAGCGCACACGUGGAGGAGCACAGCUCACCGUUCUCUUUACUGUGUGCCUAGCUACAGCUGGCAUCUCUGAGGCUCCUCCAGCUGAGUGGAGCACCAAGCCUACCCAUCCCUCAACUGCCCGUUUCGUUUCCACCUCCACGAGGAUUUCAAGCCUUCCGUGUCUUCUUUGCUUGUUCCACCAAAGCUGCAGGGACUGCACUCCUGAUUGCAUGGUUGCCCUGCCGAAAACCCUCGCAUAAGGCAUGCAAACCGUUGCCGCUCAUGUUCUAGAACCCUGGCUCACCGUUUCUGCGCCUCUUGCAGCCUGUCCUUUUGGCUCCUCUUGCUCUGUUUGUCCUUUUGUUCCUUCUGAGUGGUAAUGUUGGAUUAGCUCUGUCCUUCACCCAGCUGGGCUGGGUCACACGGCCCUGCCUGGUUCUCACGGCACACAAUUUAGCAGAGGAUAGGGCGAGAUUUCCCUAGCAGUUGUUUCUCUCAGUUUCAGACCAAGUGUGUGUUCUUGGAGCAGCCUCCUUUACCUGCUUAUAUGAUGUUAAAUGUGGUUUGCAGGUCGGUGGUCUGUGUCUAGUCAAUCAUUGGCUUAUUGGCUUCUUUGGAUUAGAAAUCGAUAAAGAUUAACCUCAGUCUCUCUCUCUCUCUCUCUCUCUCUCUCUCUCUCUCUCUCUCUCUCUCUCUCUCUGUGUGUGUGAACUUGCACU